rnacentral:lncRNA from 1 species
GGGCCAAAAUAGAAAUGUUUAGAAAACCUAGCACCGCUAUCUAUGCGGCGGUGGUGACGGUGCCGGUGCCGAUGUUAGGUAUUUACUAUUUACCUUUCACCGACCACCACCAACAAUAGACAACAGGAAGAUGUUGAUGAAGGUGGUUUGAAUCUGCGAAGCGGUGACAAAGCUCUGUUUGGACCAGAUCGUUUUUUCAACACUGACGACCACACUGUCUCUCGUCGUCAGAGCAAAUGGGUACCCGAAAACCGUUUCUGCAUGUUUCAAAAUGAAGUUUACAGUUACUUUUACCAACUUGAUGUUUCACAAGUUGAUCUUGUUAAAGGAAAUGAUUGAAGCUGGAAACAAGAUGCUUUAUUUGCCAGGAAUAGAGAUUCCUGAUUGAUUUGCACACUGUUCAAGUGGAGGUUCAAUAUUUUUCUGGUUUUUCAACAAAUUCACCAACUUUCCAGUUCUGCGUUCAUGUCCCCUGCAGCUUGACUUUAGGGGAAAUCGAGCAACAAGGGACAUGAAUGCAGAACUGGAAAGAUGGUCUGAGACAUUGAGUGAGAAAAACUCUACCACUGAAUCCACCAUGAUCCUCUCAUCGCGAAAAGCGUCUGUCUCCUUGAUCAAGAUGCAUCCGUGUAAUCAAUGAUUCUGCUCUUCUUUGGAAAACAUUUCAUUCAUUUUCCCACCAUUUGGCCUUGUCUUCAUCUGUUCCAUCAACCCCAUGACUGUUUAUACUUGAAGGGAAUGAUGAUGCCAUAUUCAUGAAUCCAGUUUGCUGAUUGUAAGGGACAAGUGCAUUCUGCCCAUUCAACACUAGCUUUCUAGCUUCUCUAUAUAUGUUUAGGUGUCUUAAUUGGGGUGUUAAUGUGACACAAGAUGUAUGUUUUGCACUUUCUCCAUCACUUUCUGCAACCUGUGCAAAGGAAAUGCUGUUGCCUUACAUUUAUUUAUGCAAGAAUACCUUGAGCUGAUUGAAGUGCAGGUCUGAGCAUGGCUUUGAGUCUCGCUGUUUCAUAUUCAGAAGCAGAAGUCCAGCUGUUAGAAGUUGAUGCAUCCAAAUGUGAUCUACCAUUUUCAUCGGUACCAUUAAGCAAGUAGACAACAACAACAUUAAUCUAAUUGGGGUGCAAUAUAAUUUAAUGCAGGCAUACUAGUCAAAUUAUUUGGUUUAAUUUCCCCUUUUGAGGUUUUUUUCUUUUGUACAUUUGGAAAUUGAAUCAAAUAAUUUGAUUGGUAUGCCUGCAUUAAAUUGUAUUGUGCCCCAAUUAGAUUAAUGUUGUUGUUGUCUAUUUGCUCAAUGGUACUAUGAAGAGGAUAAGGAGUUUGAAGACAUCAUUCUAGAUACCAAGUGUUGUGGCCUUGUGAUGUUAAUAUAUAGUGACACAAGUAGUUUUCAUUUUUGAGCAUGAUAACAUCAAUCUGAUUGAUUUUUGUUGAUAUUGGAUUGAAUUGUUGUAUGUUUGUGACUAAGUUCAAUGUAUGAAAUGAGUUAUAUUUUUUUUUGGGUACAUGAAAGGAGUUCUGUUUCAGUUCAAUGAAAAUAAUAGAGAUCUGAUAAUUGGUACAUUUCAUACGAAUUGUAAUAUCUAGUCAUCUUUUUUUCUCU